GAUGAACGCUGGCGGCGUGCUUAACACAUGCAAGUCGAACGAUGAAGCCCAGCUUGCUGGGUGGAUUAGUGGCGAACGGGUGAGUAACACGUGAGUAACCUGCCCUUAACUCUGGGAUAAGCCUGGGAAACUGGGUCUAAUACCGGAUAGGAGCGUCCACCGCAUGGUGGGUGUUGGAAAGAUUUAUCGGUUUUGGAUGGAUUCGCGGCCUAUCAGCUUGUUGGUGAGGUAUUGGCUCACCAAGGCGACGACGGGUAGCCGGCCCGAGAGGGUGACCGGCCACAAGGGGACUGAGAGAGGGCCCAGACGCGAACGGGAGGCAGUAGUGGGGAAUAUUGCACAAUGGGGGCAAGCCUGAUGCAGCGACGCCGCGUGAGGAAUGACGGCCUUCGGGGUGUAAACCUCUGUCAGUAGAGAAGAAGCGAAAGUGACGGUACCUGCAGAAGAAGCACCGGCUAACUACGUG
rnacentral:rRNA from 1 species